UACGGAGGGUGCAAGCGUUAUCCGGAUUUAUUGGGUUUAAAGGGUCCGUAGGCGGAUCUGUAAGUCAGUGGUGAAAUCUCAUAGCUUAACUAUGAAACUGCCAUUGAUACUGCAGGUCUUGAGUAAGGUAGAAGUAGCUGGAAUAAGUAGUGUAGCGGCGAAAUGCAUAGAUAUUACUUAGAACACCAAUUGCGAAGGCAGGUUACUAUGUCUUAACUGACGCUGAUGGACGAAAGCGUGGGGAGCGAACAGG
rnacentral:rRNA from 1 species